UGCUCCAUGUAUCUUCAUCUUAGGAUCCAGACUGAUGGAAGAGCUCCCAUCUGGGACAUGAGAAUCUCAUGGCAGAGGGAAAAAGAGCAAAGGCGGAACCUUGUGAUGGCUCUUAGAGUUCCUGCUUAGAUAAGCGCCAGUCAAGUCCCAGACGACUACUGAACUUCCUGUCACUAUCGGACCAAGGAUCUGCUGACAUGUUACAUCAGCCAACACUACGAAGAAUAAAUGAAUGGAUAUUCAUUGAGCACCUGUCAUGUGACAUUCUUUCAUUCAUUCUCUCGUUCUCUUACCCAUUCAGAGUUGAUAUGACUCACUUGGGGGCAUUGGAAAAAAGACCCCAUGUCUUCCCUGACUCAUGGUCAGAUCUGUCCUCUGGCCAUAGAAAGGGGGGACUUCUCUGCUUUAUUGAUAGAGAGGUCAGUCGUUUCCCUUCAGCCUCUUUUUAUUGUGAACUUGAUGAAUGUGGCCUGAUGGACCAGGAAGUAAGAGGAAUAAAAACAUACUAUAUGAAAAACAUCCCGCAAGGGACAGAUGGGCUGUGAAUGGGCCCCCCUCUCCAGCUGUUCCCUGUCCCACCAGGACUGUGGACUGAGGACUGGGGACUAGACCAGAGGGAGGACUUUGGUAGCCUGGGAGGAGGAUCUGCCAUGGGAGGCUGCCAUCUGAGGCAGGGGGAUGGCCAGUGUGUGCUGGGAGGCACAGGGCCUCCCAGUGGGCAGAGACUGGCAACUGGCAGGGAUAAUAGGAGCUAGAGGCAGGGGUCUGGCUGGGACAGCCCUUUGUAGUGGUGGGUGUAGUCAUUGGGUGACUUGGUUGGCCCAGAGGUAGAGAAGACCCAGGUGGUAUGCAGCUGGGGACCAGUCCUGUUGGCCCCAUGGCAGUGGGGGUUGGGUUGCUCUGAAGUCUGGGGAUGGCUGGGUUGACUUAGUUUGGAAGUGGCACCAACCAGGCACUUUUUCCCAUAGAGGAGGGUUUUGUUGACUGAAUGGCAAGCGCUGGUGACAUUAGCCCUGUGGUUGGGGACACUGAUGCCCCGUUGGCUUUCUUAUGGAGAACAAUCUUAUGGAGGACAGUCAGGCUUUACCCUAAGGAGAUGGAGGAGUGACUUAGUUGACUGUGUGGAUGGGGGGAGCAGGAGUGGGGAGCGUCCUUGGAUGUGGCAGAGACUGAGGGGAUCACAUCACCAAUAGUCCAUCCGCUUCUCUAGAACCAUGUGACUACUCUGGCAUGGGCUAUGAACAUAAGUGAGGGGGAUCCCUUCUGGGAUGAAGCAUGGAAGAUCUUCUUUUAUUUUUAUUUUAUUUAUU